UUGGCAGAAAUGUACUCCCCUUUUUUUCCCCCUCUUAUCUACAUCGGCCCUCACUCGCCGUCGCAGCAAACAAAUUAAGACGGAAACGGGCGUAAAGCUCCUCUGUCCUGUGACAGACCGCGAACCACCGCGUGUUCAUUAGCACCUAUUGAUCCGCGUGUUUACCAAACACUCUUAAUGACAGCCAUGAAAACUGGAACAGCAAACAGACAGAUUGACGCGGACCGAUCCGCGUGCGGGACGGAGCCGAAGGAAGGAGGCGAGGAGAUGGCGUGAUGAUGGAGGCGGUGGAGAGGAAACACUCGGGGAGGAUAUAGAGACGAUGGUCAGGGCUCGCGAGUAUUGGACGGAGAGGUGUUGCAUCACAUGAACCUGUCACACGUGAUCAGCGGCGCUGUAAAGGGACUGCACCUGCAAGAUGGUCACAUUUUCCAUCGAAAAGAGGGAAAAGGACUGCAAGGUGUUGGUACUUAUUUCAAUAAGAAUACGCUGACAAUAAGAACGUAGCAAAGUGCUGAUGAAUGCUGAAGAGAAAACAGCUAGUUCUGGAUGUUUGUGUUGAUGACAUCAGAAGAGGUACGGGAAUCAAUACAUUUUGUAGAGUCGAUGCGUGCUUUGACUCAUUUUUAGGAAAUAUUGAGCCAGAACAGCCUUACAUAUUUAAAUCAACUUUGACGAAUGAGUUACGGGUAGUCCAACAUUUUUGAUGAAAUCCAUGCCGUGGUUUUCAAACAAUUACUUAUUGAGUCCCGUUAAUGCAUCAAAACAUAAGUCCAUAACCGCUGGUUGUUUUUACAAUAAACAUAUUAAACUGCGUCA